UCCUCACAUCAUUCAGCCUUCACAGAA
rnacentral:piRNA from 1 species